GACGAACGCUGGCGGCGUGCCUAAUACAUGCAAGUAGAACGCACAGUUUAUACCGUAGCUUGCUACACCAUAAACUGUGGGUUGCGAACGGGUGAGUAACGCGUAGGUAACCUGCCUGGUAGCGGGGGAUAACUAUUGGAAACGAUAGCUAAUACCGCAUAAUAUUGAUUAUUGCAUGAUAAUUGAUUGAAAGAUGCUAUUGCAUCACUACCAGAUGGACCUGCGUUGUAUUAGCUAGUAGGUGAGGUAACGGCUCACCUAGGCGACGAUACAUAGCCGACCUGAGAGGGUGAUCGGCCACACUGGGACUGAGACACGGCCCAGACUCCUACGGGAGGCAGCAGUAGGGAAUCUUCGGCAAUGGACGAAAGUCUGACCGAGCAACGCCGCGUGAGUGAAGAAGGUUUUCGGAUCGUAAAACUCUGUUGUAAGAGAAGAACGGGUGUGAGAGUGGAAAGUUCACACUGUGACGGUAUCUUACCAGAAAGAGACGGCUAACUACGUG
rnacentral:rRNA from 1 species